rnacentral:rRNA from 1 species
GACGAACGCGUGGCGGCGUGGAUUAGGCAUGCAAGUCGAACGGUAUCAUCCUUUCGGGGGUGAGAGAGUGGCGAACUGGUGAGUAACACGUAGGUUAUCUACCCUCAAGACGGGGACAACCCAGGGAAACUUGGGCUAAUACCGGAAUGUGAGCAACUUUUAGUUGUUUGAAAGGUGGCGUAAGCUGUCGCUUGGGGAUGAGCCUGCGUCCUAUUAGUUAGUUGGUGAGGUAACGGCUCACCUAGGCAAUGAUAGGUAGGCGGCCUUAACGGGUGGUCGCCCACACUGGGAUUGAGAUACGGCCCAGACUCCUACGGGAGGCAGCAGCCGAGAAUAGUCUACAAUGGUCGGAAGACUGAUAGUGCGACGCCGCGUGAACGAUGAAUCCCUUCGGGGUGUAGAGUUCUUUUAUAUGUGAGCAGUGCUUCUUAUAUUAACAGUAUGGGGAGAGAGAUAUUAGCAUAUGAAUAAGCAACGGCUAACUCCGUG